rnacentral:rRNA from 1 species
GUUGUAGUCUGGAGAAGUGCUUUCCGCGCUGGACCGUGUACAAGUCUCUUGGAAUAGAGCGUCAUAGAGGGUGAGAAUCCCGUCUUUGACACGGACUACCAGUGCUUUGUGAUGCGCUCUCAAAGAGUCGAGUUGUUUGGGAAUGCAGCUCAAAAUGGGUGGUAAAUUCCAUCUAAAGCUAAAUAUUGGCGAGAGACCGAUAGCGAACAAGUACCGUGAGGGAAAGAUGAAAAGCACUUUGGAAAGAGAGUUAAACAGUACGUGAAAUUGCUGAAAGGGAAACGCUUGAAGUCAGUCGCGUCGUGUGGGACUCAGCCUUGCUUUUGCUUGGUGCACUUCCUGCAUGACGGGCCAGCAUCAAUUUCGACCGUUGGAUAAGGGCCRAAGGAAUGUGGCACCUCCGGGUGUGUUAUAGCCUUUGGUCGCAUACAACGAUUGGGAUUGAGGAACGCAGCGUGCCGCAAGGUAACGUUUGAGGAUGCUGGCAUAAUGGCUUUAAACGACCCGUCUUGAAACACGGACCAAGGAGUCUAACAUGCCUGCGAGUGUUUGGGUGGAAAACCCGAGCGCGUAAUGAAAGUGAAAGUUGAGACCUCUGUCGUGGAGGGCAUCGACGCCCGGACCAGACGUUUUCUGACGGAUCCGCGGUAGAGCAUGUAUGUUGGGACCCGAAAGAUGGUGAACUAUGCCUGAAUAGGGUGAAGCCAGAGGAAACUCUGGUG